rnacentral:rRNA from 1 species
UACGUAGGCAGCAAGCGUUGUUCGGAGUUACUGGGCGUAAAGAGUGCGUAGGUGGUGCCCUAAGCCUGUUGUGAAAUCUCCCGGCUUAACUGGGAGGGUGCGGUGGAAACUGGGGUGCUUGAGUGUGGGAGAGGUAAGCGGAAUUCCUGGUGUAGCGGUGAAAUGCGUAGAUAUCAGGAGGAACACCGGUGGUGUAGACGGCUUACUGGACCACGACUGACACUGAGGCACGAAAGCGUGGGUAGCAAACAGG